AUAGAAAACACGGAGCAUACCAGUGACAACAUCGGGAGAGUCCUUCUGCUCCUGACGAGGAGGUAUAACAUAGAAACGAUUUUGGCGUUGACCGCCAGCAGUACUAGAUGAAGUAUCCUAAGGAGGAACUGGACGGGCUGCGGGAGGCGGGGCACUGGUAGCCUGACUCUGGGGUUGGGUAUCAUGACUCUGCUUUCUGGCAUACGGGCAGUCUCUAAGUAUGUGGCCCAACUUGCCACAACCAAAAUAGCCCCGCUGCCCCAUAUAACACUCCCCAAAAUGGUCUUUACCACACUUAGCAUACGAAGGAGGAUGAGGCUGGUUUCUUACACUGUCUUGAGACCUGGAAGGUACCGACCUAUUCCUGAGCUCCUGCUUGCCCCGAUAUAUGAGAGCACUAGCUGAGAAAGGCGCAGGUAUAAAUGGACGUCUUUGAAACUGAGGGAGACUCCCUCCGGAGAAUCUAGUCUGACCAGACCCCUGUUGCUCCAAUCUGACUCUCUUAACC
rnacentral:lncRNA from 1 species